ensembl:lncRNA
CUUCCUAGCAAUGAGACCGCAGCAAAAAGGUUUAAUGUGAGAAUUCACUGAUAAAUGCACCCUCUUGUUCUGCUUCCUGGGCGAGGGGAGGAGCUGGAAUGAACUUGGCAAAUGAGAAACACGUGCUUCUAUCAGGCGAGGCACGUUUGGGUUGCAGUGGGAGCUGAAAGCGUUUGCUUUGUGCCAAGCAGGCUGCUGAAUGGAAGCUUUCCAGCAGUGGCAGUUUAUCAGCUGCUGGUGGAGGUAAUUCUGCUUCUCUAUAGCUCUGGCAGGCUGUCCUGCUCCUUUCUGUAAGCGGAGGAAACGCUGAAUGGGAGUGUAAAUGAAGGUGAAAGGGAACAAAACAUUGCAUGCAUUUUGCAGCUGUCUUGCUGAAAGCUAAUCUCUCCCAGGCUGACAGCAGUGUGAGGAGCAGAGGGGAGAGGCAGUGUGCCGUGCUGAUAAAGUUUCCUUGGUCAGCUGAGUUUUGCUGCUGGUCCUUUGGUGCCUGGCUGCAAAAAGGGCCCUCCCCAUCUUUCCUACGUGCUCAGCUUCCUUCUGGCUGAGCCUUGCUGCUUCCUCUAUUCGUUUCUGUAAUUCACUCCCACUCUUUACUACUUUGCAGGAGGUGGUAGAGCAGAACAUAGGGAAGGACGGCCCAUCUCCAAGCACCUGAGGCACGUCCUAUUGGUCUUGCUUUAAAGAGAGCCCAUUCCACGUAGCCUGAUGCUCAAAGAGAAGCUUUGCAUCAAGUGCUGCUCCACGACUUCUCCCAGUCAUUACCUGGAAGCUGCAUCCUUCAUUAAUCCCAUGCAUGGCAACGAGACGUCUGCUCACGGCUUCCCCCAGCGUGCCUUCCUGAUGUGCUGCUGCAGCAGGAGAGAAAGUUUUGGUGGCGCUGACGCUGGGAGGUGACAGGAGAAGAGGUGUGCUCAGCCUUUUGCACUGCACGGGAUGCAUCUGUGUGUGCACGGGGGGGCACACGGGUUGGUCAGCACAGUGUGUGUGCCCAGUGCAUUUUUCCACGCCACGCUGACGUGGAGCCUCCUCACCUCCAUCCACAUCCAUCUGUUGUUCCCCUCCGUCAGCGACUUUGCGAGAUGAUUGAUCUCAGGCUUAGGUCAUUUUUCAAGUUGCAGAUCUUGUCAAUCUGUCUGGCUCCACCUACAUGCAGUGAUUCAGCUCCUGAUGUGCUGAAAUAUUCCCCUAAGCCUUCCCACACACCACCGAGGGCUUUUUUUAUAGUCCUUCUCCAGGCUGCACCACCUCUCCCGCGCUGUGCUCAAAGCGUGUGUUCUUUGCAUGAUGUUUGCAUGAUUCCUUUUGCUCGGAGAGCAGUGCAGAAAGUCGAGUUAGAGCUCCUGAAGAGUUAGGAGAGCCACUGCAAAACACGCUCCCCACCUAAAGGCUGGAUCCCGUGUAUCACAUUUGGCUAAUGUGCUGUGAUUAAAGGAACUGGAGACAAGCGUGGGGCUUUCCCCCCCUCCCCGCCCCGUCCCUGUACCUUCAGGUAUUCUCUCUUUAGGACUUGGUCUUUGUAACAGUUAAUAUUCUCGGUAGGGUGUUGCAAGUUCUGCAUUUGCACACUUGACCUGAAAUAGAAGUGGCUGUCACAGAAUUAUGGAGGGAGUUACACUCGCGUGGCUACGGUGGUAAUAAUAACUUUGCUGUAGUUAUAUUGAUCUAUUUCCACAUCCAGAAAACGGCUUAAUGUGCUCUUACACCUCUGCUUUGCCUUCAGUACAGCGUUCUUAACUCCCUGCCUGUGUGCAGGGGGUGGCUUUGGGUGACAGCCAUGCUCUGAGGAUGCUCAGCUGAGGACGGUGCCAGCACAGUGCUGAGCCCUCUUUGCACAGCGACUGCAGACAGCAGAGGGCUGUGCUGGAGGCACAGCUGAGAGGUGUGAGACCCACAGCAGCUCUUGGGGGCAGCUCCCCAACUUGGGGCUGCUUGGCAAAUGGCUGCAGAGCAGCAGCAGAGGGAAUUGGGAGCGAGCCCUGAUAGGAAAUGGGGAAGCCGUAAGCAAGCAUUGUGCAGGUGGGCUUGGAAGCAGCAGUGCCAGCCUUCUCCUUUCAGUUGUGUUCGGGGAAGUUGGAUCUUAGAAUCACAGCAUCAUUAGGACUGGAAAAGACCUCUAAGAUGACCAAACCCACCCCACAGUGCCCACCGACUGCCCCCGGGUGCCACUCCUCCACUGUUCUUCAUUGUGGCGAUGGAGUUUUUGGUAGGCAAGUGGAGUUGUGCUAAAGAAUGCGUCUAAUUUAUGUAAUCCGUGUUCUGUUAAUGAAGCCGAGUGUUUUAAGGACUUGCUAAUUACACAGGUUAAAAAAGGAGGUAACUUAGGGUCACGAGUGAAAUUAAGAAGCGAAGGAAAGAAGAAAAAGCCUGAGCUGCCUGUGCUGAAAAUGGAACAGAGCACAGGCAUAACAUCUAGAAACCAGAUUUGCCGAAAGAAAAGCUUGAAAUAAGAGCUGGCACUUCCCUGGGUGUUGUGGGACGUGACGCAGUGACUUCCCAAAAGGGCUGAGAGCGCAGCGUGGGCAAAAGUGACAGCGUUUGGAGCUGCUGUUGCAGUUGCUGGGGUGACUUCGGGAGCCCAUGCACAGCAUUCCUUAUGGAGCUUCGGGAUGGCAUCGGCUCAGGCUGCACAGAGCCACAAAGGAUGGGGAGGACCUCAGAGAGCACCAACCCACCCCACUGUGUCCCCACGGGCCACAUCUGCACUGUUCUUGGCCGCCUCUGGGAGUUUUUGGGGGGGCUUUUUUAUGCCUAUCUGGAAAUAGGAGAAGCGGGGAAUGGAGAGGUUGCACCGUUCCGUUGCAAGUAAUGGAAAAGCCACUAUUUUUAGUGGUUGGAUGGGGGUGAUUCAGCUCACCGAACGAAAUAUUCGGGGAUGUGGGAGGAGGAGACGUCUCGCAGUCAGAUCUGCUUUUGCCACAUCUGCCCUCUGCAGAGAGCUGCAGCAGCUGUGAGCUGCUCCCAUCGGCCCCACAGCCCUCAGCAGCUCAUGGCAUGGGAUGGGGGGGUGCUGUGGGCACAGGGCAGGUGGGGCUGAGCGCAGACUGAUGGUGAAAUGGUGGUGGGAAGGAGCAGAGCAGAGUGCAGAAGCAGCAGCUCAGAGCUCAGCACCUCCAUGUCCAAAGGUAACCGAGAGGAGAGGAGCAAGCAAGGCUUGCACGAAGCAUUCCAGCAACUGGAGAACGUUCCUCUUAGCUGCCAACCGAACGGAAUGGAAAGAAGAAGGCGGUUCCUGACGGCUCUUAUCUCGGUGGAGAAACGAUGGAGAAGUUUAAGGGGAUCGUCGCAAGGAUGGGCUGAAAGUCCCUCCCCGUGGAUCAGAGCUCGGGAGCACAAGGGCAGAGCUGGGGGUGGUGGUUUGACCCGCAGGAGUUAAUGUUUAGUGGGAUGUGUGCAGGGCAAACAGGGAGGGGGGGACCUGGGGUGGGGGUUUCUGGGCCAGGCACGGAGGGGUCUUGCAGUGGAAAUACAAUCCCGUAGGGCUGAACGGGGGGCGGGGUGAGAGAACGGUGUGGAAAAUGGCAAAAAUAAAGCUUGAGAAUGGGGCCUGUGGACUUUGAGCAGGAUGGGGUGGGUAUGGGAGGCAACGGGUGAGCCGAGAGCUGAUCUCCGUAGCCUUAGGGUCCCGAGGCAGACCUGGGUUAGCUCUCAGCCGGCUCCAUCCUACAGCUGCCCCUCCCCCAUCCCAUUAACCCCCCCCACGCUCCGCGCUCGCUCCCAUCCCGCUUCCCGCCAGGAUGGGGGGAGUGGGCGUGGUCGCGGAACUAGAUGGGCGGGGCUUGGCCCGGUAGCCACG